rnacentral:misc_RNA from 1 species
UCCGCGUUAGUUGUUGUUUGAUACCCUUCUGCACUGUAUCGCUGGGAUGUCUUCGCGUCGGCGACAGACGCGCCUGCAAAGGCCCCCAUAAGGCCGCACAGGGUUGUUGCCUUCUUCACCUCGGCGGACAGAAGUCGCUGCCUUGUCGGCGUGGUCGCCUCUACGCCGACCGUCGCCCAAAGUGACGGCACCGUCGCCGUGCUUGUACAGCCCCGCCCGCUCAUCCUGCUCGCUCCUCAGACACUGCAGGAUGCGAGCAAGAGCGGCGGACUGGUUGCUGGGCACCUUGUCGACGCUUCUGACCCCUCCGUUAGUGGUCUUCUCACUGCAUCUAUUUCGUCACCCAAGUGGGCAAACAGCAGUGGCAGCGCUACGCUGCCUCUAAACGCGGACGAUGUAGGCACAGUGAUGACAGCCGAGGAGCUGCGAGAGAUGCAAGAGCAUCGAGACAGCCUGAAAGCAGACCUCGGAUCUAGCAGAGACCGAGUACGAGAAAUCGACGAGCUUAUUCGUCAGCAUACGCAGGAGAAAAACAGCAGUGCCACAUUAGCAACCACACCUAACCCACUGCGGGCACCGUCUCCGCUAAAGGAGCAUCUCGAUGCGGCUCGAAAGACCGUCGAUGACGCAGCGAAAGCCGCCGACGCUGCCGAGAAGGAGCUGCUGCUCGCACGCGCCGGUCUGCGAACAGUGAAGCCGUUCGCAUGGGCCGAUCUACAGCGGCGCCACAGCGGCUCGUCUUCGCAGCCGUUGGUGAGUCUCAUAGAAACUGCCGUGGCCCCGCUGCACGACCGCACCUGUGCGUCGUUUGAUGACGCGAUAGUGCAGGCAGUCUCUUUACCGAAGCGUCUGGCUGCCGUAAAGUCCAUGAGUGUGACAGUCGAUGAUACGCAGCGGGCACUGCGUUUUCUGAAGGCGUGGCCGACCGUGGCGGCUGUCGCGAAGGAGCACAAGACCGCCGCCGCCCUGUACCGGUGGGUCGACGCGCUCGCCAAGGCGACAGAGGCUCAACGGCGGCUGAAGGCGACGCAGCAAGCGCUCGCGGCAACACCAUCGCAGAGCCCGGAUGCUGCGUGGCAGUCAAAGGAGAUGGCGCGGGCCCCUGAGGCCGCAUCGCAGCCAACAAAGAAGCUCGACUCCGUGGCAGAGGCGGCUCUGCGUAAGGAGCGCAAGGAUCAAAUGGAGUACGUGCAGAUGGCGGAAGAAGAGCUGGCCGCUGUCGAUGCCCUUAUAGCCGAGGCUGAGGCACUGGCCAUCUCGUCUCCUCACGGUGCGCAGGACUCGCCAAAGGGAGCAAAGACUAUUGUGCCGGCUCUGGCCGUGCCCACAUCGUGGGUGGCCUGCGCCUUGCCAGAGGACGAGGCGCCGCGGAUAGGAGUGUACGCACACCAGCCGCGUGGCAAACAAAUAGAGUUUUCCAGCUCCGCAAGUCUGAUCCUAUCAACAGUGGCGAAGGAGCUCGUGCCGUCGGCGGUGGUGUCCACCGCUACGCCGCAGGAUCGUACAGUAUCUGCGCUGGACCUUGCCGAGCCGCGCAAGGCAUUGUCUGGUAGCGACAACAACAGUGGCAGCAGCUACCACGGCACCGGUGUGCACCGGUCCACCAACAGCCCUCAGCUCAGCCCGCGAGCUGCGGCUGCGGCUUCUACGGGUGUGAGCAACGCGGCCCUUGUUCCAGUCACUGAAGUCACAGCCGCAAGGCAGCGCGCAGAGGAUGCGGAAGAAAAAACGCGACUCCUCGAAGCCCGUCUCUCCGCCGCCCUUCAGCAGAACCCGAAAGAGGCGGAAGUGCAGCUGCUGCGCGACGAACUGGAUGCGAAGCGCACAGAGCUGCGUCGCGUCACGGAGGAGCGCGAUCGCCUCCUGCAGGAACGAUGCGAUCGGAGCUCUCGGUACGCGGCAGUCUCGCGGCGUGCUACGGCCGACGGCGCACAAAACGACGGAGUAUCUCAGGCUGCGUCUGGCCGGUAUGCGCGGCGCUCGUCGACCCCGCGCGACACUGUCGACCGCAGCGUCGUCGAAGAGCUCGAGGAUCAGCUGACGGCAGCACACCAGCGCAUCUCUGAGCUUCUUAUCGAGGCAAGCGAGUGGCGCCGCCGCUCGCCAUCACUAACAGCCGUCUCUAUAGCACCGAGAGCAGCCAAAAGUAGCCGCGUCGCCAUCUCGCAUGGCGACUGCUCGCACGCGUCUGCGCUGCAGUCGCCGUCAACGGAGGAGAUGGACACCGCACCACACUCCGCCAGCGACACGCCGCGGCAGCGAUCACUGAGAGGUGCUGCUGUGUCGCCGUGCCGAACUUCGUCGUCGCCAAUGAUAACGCAGGAAAUGUAUGAUGACCUCCAAGCCCGCCUGUGCGCCGUCUCGGACGAGCUGGAAACUCAGCGGCAAGGGACACGCCACCUGGAGGAACAGCUCAACGACGCCCUGCACCGGCGAAGUGAAGCAGAACACAUGGUACUGGCGCAGAAGCACGAACUCGAAGAAGUGUGGGAGAGGCUUGAGGCAGCGGAGGCCCGCGCUGAGGAGCAAGAGCUGCUUACCCAGCAGCGUCUCCUCCUCACUCAUACGCAGCUCUUUCCUUCACAAUCGCAGCUGCCGCAACUGAACGUAUCUACACCGCUGCCAUCCGUGUCCCCCAUAGUCAACUCCAAUCUUUCCCAAACCCUGCAGCCUACUGUAGCAUCUACGGGCGCGCCGUUACAACACGCGCAACACACGCUCAGCGUGCAAGACGUCUUUGGCGGCGACUCAGCGCCAGGUGCCGCCGAUGCAGAGGUGAGGUCUCAGACGAACGAGGAUGCAAUGACGAUUGCCACCAACGCGAACACUGCCUACGGCAGCGCGUCUCGACUGUCGGCGGACGUGUACCCGCACAGCCCGGGGACCAGUGGCUUCCCAAGCUUUGGGGGUGGCGGCGGUGUAGCGACUUCUGCCGCGGCAGCCAAUGCGGCGGAACGCUCCAUUGUCAGCCAGUACAGCCGCGCUCCUUCGGCUCUCCAAUCACGGCCGGUGGAGCAGCUGAGCACGAUUGAGCUACGGCACGAGGUACACCGGCUCCGUGAAGAGGUGGAGCGGUGUCAGUCGGGGGAGCUGCGAAUGGUGAUGGAGCUGCAGACGCUGCGCGAGAAGCAAAAAGCAGAGCGCAAACGCCGCCGUGACGCACGCGCCGCCCGCAUUCAAAUGCUUGCGCGGAUGCAGGGGAACAUAGCCGACGUCAUCGAGAAGUCCACGAAGGAGCUGGAGGCGAUCCCGGCGCUGCUCGAGCGCAGUCGUUCGGAAGCAGAGGCCCUCAUGGCAAGACGUCGGAUGGGUGGGUAGCGGCGCCACAGCUUCUGUUGUUGCUUAUCGAUAGCGUGCUGACUCACGUGUCUCGCCAUUGCGCGCUUGAAUGACGGGCACGAUUGCUUGCUGCCCUAUGCUGGCUGGAGAUAGCGCAUCUCAAAGCCCUUGGCGUAUCUGUGCGUACGGGUGGCGUUGCUGUGACUCACAAGCAACCGUGCUACUUGAUGCACCAUUUAACCCUUUUCUUUUUUCUGGACGUAGGCACUCCUCCGUGAAAACAGUCGAGAUGACGCUCUUGAUCCUCUGCGCGGGUGUGUCUUCGUAUGAAGAGAAAGCACUUGCCUUCUAUGCGCAUGGUGAACCGCCAUCGCUUGUAGACGGGCAAUGAGCCAUGAUCUCUGCAAGAAAUAUAUAUAUAUAUGCACUCGG